UACGUAUGGUGCAAGCGUUAUCCGGAUUUACUGGGCGUAAAGGGAGCGCAGGCGGCGCGCCAAGUCUGAUGUGAAACCCCGGGGCUCAACCCCGGGCAUGCAUUGGAAACUGGCGGGCUGGAGUGCCGGAGAGGUAAGCGGAAUUCCUAGUGUAGCGGUGAAAUGCGUAGAUAUUAGGAGGAACACCAGUGGCGAAGGCGGCUUACAGGACGGCAACUGACGCUGAGGCUCGAAAGCGUGGGGAGCAAACAGG
rnacentral:rRNA from 1 species